rnacentral:tRNA from 1 species
GCUCCUAUUGUCUAGUGGUAAAGACUGUGUUUUUUCGUAACAUUAACGUAAGUUCGAUUCUUACUAGGAGUA